GGGAAGGUGGCUCAGUGAUAGAGUGCUUGCUUUACAUGCAUGAGGCCCUGGGUUUGAUUCCUCAGCCCCA
rfam:Dipodomys ordii contig_21804, whole genome shotgun sequence.